rnacentral:rRNA from 1 species
CGAGUAACGCUGGCGGCGUGGACUAAGGCAUGCAAAGUCAAACGGACAUUACAAUUGCCUGAGAUUGAGAUUAUAUCAUAUCAAGGCGCCGUAAUGUUAGUGGCAGACGAGGUAGUAACACGUAGGAACCUCCUCCCGAGUCGCGGAAUAACUAGUCGAAAGAUUGGCUAAUACCCGAUAGUCUCUUAGGAGUAAAGAAGCAAUUCGCUUGGGAAAGGGCCUGCGGGCUAUCAGCUAGUUGGUAGGGUAAUGGCCUACCAAGGCAUUGACGGCUAGGGGAGCUGAGAGGCUGACCCCCACCGAUGGGACUGAGACACGGCCCAUACACCUACGGGUGGCUGCAGUCGAGAAUCUUCCGCAAUGGACGAAAGUCUGAUGGAGCGACGCCGCGUGACUGAUGAAGUCUUUCGGGAUGCAAAGGUCUUUUAUGAGGGAUGACAUUGCGACAGUACCUCAUGAAUAAGGGGCUGCUAAUCACGUGCCAGCAGCAGCGGUAAUACGUGAGCCCCAAGCGUUAUCCGGAAUUCACUGGCGCGUAAAGAGUGCAGUAGGUCGGUCAUAUUCGUCUUUUCUCGCUAAAUCCACUCGGGUCAACCGAUGAACUCCAAAAGGAAACGGUAAUGACUUGCGCACGU